GAGUGAGCGGGGGACUUUUGGGAUAGCAUUGGAAAUGUAACUGAAAUAAAUACCUAAUUAAAAAAAAAAGAAAUGAAAGGUCAAUAAGCUCUCCUUCUUGUGCAAUUUGAGAAGGCUUCAAAAUGGUAUUGAAUUUUAUACAGGUUUUUGUUCAAGGCACUUUCCAUUACAAGUAAUGGGAAACUCAACUCAAUUACACCUAAGCAAUUAAAAGAAAACAUCGGCUCACAUAACUAAAAGAACCCUUGGAUAGUGUAGAUACCAGGUUAGAGACUGAAGCUGGAUAGUCAUCAUUCUCUGAAUUUAAUCCUUCCCUCUUCCAUGUGGCAGUUGUCUCCUGAGGCUACUCUUUCCCACAGAUCCAACCUGGCCCCAUCCAUUAGUGCCACUUCUCACAUUGACUAAGCUGCUGUCAUAUGAUUAAUAUCAAAAGUUAUUUCAUGUGUCUGGAUGACCCUAGGUCGCUUCUCAAUUGUGAGUCUGUCAUUAUAAGAGAGGAAAGGAAAUACCGUGAGAUAAUUUUGAUGUAGACAUGGGUCAUGUUCCCAGUCCUAUGCCCUUUUGGAAAAAGAAGGAUAGAACUACAUUUUCUGGUUUAUAAUUGUAAAGCUAUACGUCUGGAGAAAUGUGUGAUGCCUUCAGUUUCUGCUCAAUGUCAAAGAAGCUACAUGAAUAGGAAAGAUGCCAAGGAAUACUUGAUGAACUAGCACUAUAACACAUCCCCAAGCCUUAAAAAUGAGUAAGACAUUCUUAGGAGAUGAUAAAAUAUAAGGUUAAAUGAAAGAGGACACCAUGAAAAAGAGAAACUUGCACGCACAUCUAUAAAGAAAUUGUACUUAACAAGCCUAGAGAUGUGUUUAGAAAUAAAGAAAAAAGUGGUUGGAGGUAGGAUGUAUUAAUCAUAUUUAGAAAUAUCCUCACAACAAGGCUGCAGUAGAUUGAAAUGAUUCAUCAUAUGGUGGGAAAAAACUGGGGUGCAUCAGAGAAAUUCUUUAAAGCUUGCAAUCUUGUUCAAUCAAAUAGAAAAAUAAGAAUCAGGUGAUUGGCAGAAACUACCAUAGUGUAGAGGGUAUCAUAGACACGUAGACUUGAUACCUGUUAUCAAAAUUGUGUGCAAAUGCCCAAGUCAGUUAGACAAGGUAUCAAUAAAUCCAAAGUUCCUUAUUGUUAAGCCAUGUGUCAUCGAUAAAGGCAUUUCAUGGGCAAAGUUCUAGGAGAAUAUUUGUUUAGAACAAGCUUCAGAUGACAGGCAAGAAACUAGAGAAACCUUGGAGAAUUGAUGUAUUUGGAACAUC
rnacentral:lncRNA from 1 species